AGCUUGCUGGGUGGAUUAGUGGCGAACGGGUGAGUAACACGUGAGCAACCUGCCCCUGACUCUGGGAUAAGCGCUGGAAACGGCGUCUAAUACUGGAUACGAACAAGAAUCGCAUGGUUACUUGUUGGAAAGAUUUGUUUGGUUGGGGAUGGGCUCGCGGCCUAUCAGCUUGUUGGUGAGGUAAUGGCUCACCAAGGCGUCGACGGGUAGCCGGCCUGAGAGGGUGACCGGCCACACUGGGACUGAGACACGGCCCAGACUCCUACGGGAGGCAGCAGUGGGGAAUAUUGCACAAUGGGCGGAAGCCUGAUGCAGCAACGCCGCGUGAGGGAUGACGGCCUUCGGGUUGUAAACCUCUUUUAGCAGGGAAGAAGCGAGAGUGACGGUACCUGCAGAAAAAGCGCCGGCUAACUACGUGCCAGCAGCCGCGGUAAUACGUAGGGCGCAAGCGUUAUCCGGAAUUAUUGGGCGUAAAGAGCUCGUAGGGCGGUUUGUCGCGUCUGCUGUGAAAUCCCGAGGCUCAACCUCGGGCCUGCAGUGGGUACGGGCAGACUAGAGUGCGGUAGGGGAGAUUGGAAUUCCUGGUGUAGCGGUGGAAUGCGCAGAUAUCAGGAGGAACACCGAUGGCGAAGGCAGAUCUCUGGGCCGUAACUGACCGCUGAGGAGCGAAAGGGUGGGGAGCAAACAGGCUUAGAUACCCUGGUAGUCCACCCCGUAAACGUUGGGAACUAGUUGUGGGGUCCAUUCCACGGAUUCCGUGACGCAGCUAACGCAUUAAGUUCCCCGCCUGGGGAGUACGGCCGCAAGGCUAAAACUCAAAGGAAUUGACGGGGACCCGCACAAGCGGCGGAGCAUGCGGAUUAAUUCGAUGCAACGCGAAGAACCUUACCAAGGCUUGACAUAUACGAGAACGGGCCAGAAAUGGUCAACUCUUUGGACACUCGUAAACAGGUGGUGCAUGGUUGUCGUCAGCUCGUGUCGUGAGAUGUUGGGUUAAGUCCCCGCAACGAGACGCGCACCCCCGUUCAUGUUGCCAGCACGUAAUGGUGGGAACUCAUGGGAUACUGCCGGGGUCAAAUCUCGGAAGAAGGUGGGGAUGACUGCUAAACUAUCAUGCCCCUUAUGUCUUGGGCUUCACGCAUGCUACAAUGGCCGGUACAAAUGGGCAGCGAUACCGUGAGGUGGAGCGAAUCCAAAAAGCCGGUCCCAGUUCGGAUUGAGGUCUGCAACUCGACCCUCAUGAAGUCGGAGUCGCUAGUAAUCGCAGAUCAGCAACGCUGCGGUGAAUACGUUCCCGGGUCUUGUACACACCGCCCGUCAAGUCAUGAAAGUCGGUAACACCUGAAGCCGGUGGCCUAACCCUUGUGGAGGGAGCUGUCGAAGGUGGGAUCGGUAUUAGGACUAGUCGAUAACAAGGUAACC
rnacentral:rRNA from 1 species